rnacentral:lncRNA from 1 species
AGAAGCAGAAGCAGGGGGUGUGCCAGGGGUGUGAGGUGGAGGGAACAGAGGUGGGAAUAGAGGAGGCAAAGGAGGGAAAAUUGGUUUUGGUGGUGGAGGUGGUGGUGGUGAUGGGGUCAAACCUGGUAUUACUAUUGGUGGGAAAGGGGGAAACAAAGAUGGUGGUGGGCUUGGAGGAGGCUGGAAUGGGUUAGGGAUAAGUGGUGGUGGGCUUGGAGGGGGCUGGAAAGGAUUAGGAAAGAGAGUUGGUGGGCUUGGAGGGGGCUGGAAUGGGUUAGGGAUGAGUGGUGGUGGGCUUGGUGGUUGGAAUGGGUUUGGAAUGAGUGGUGGGCUUGGUGGUUGCAGUGGAUUUGGAAUCAGAGGAGGUGGCUGAAAGGGAUUUGGAAUUAGGGGAGGAGGCUGAAAUGGGUUGGGGACCAAUGGUGGUGGGAAAAAUGGGUUUGGUGGAAAAAAGAAAUCUUCAGCUAAAUUUUUGUUAGCUGAUUUAGAUUUGU